GGAAAAGGAUGGGAUGAGCCUUGAUAUAGCUGUACACAAUAUUAUCAUUCAUGGCAUGUGCAAGGCGAAAAAGAUUGAUGAGGCAUUGCAGUUGUUUAAUCUGCUUUCGGAUAAAGGGGUGGAACCAAAUGUGAUAACAUAUACUACAAUGAUUUCGGGACUCUGUCGGAGGGGUUUAUUUGGUGAAGCCGAGAAGUUAUUUAGUGUGAUGAAAGAGACUGGUUGUUUGCCGAAUGAUCGUACAUACAACACAUUGAUCCAGGGUUAUCUAAAUCACGGAUACACGUUAAAGGGUAUCGAACUUAUAAAAGAAAAGAAGAGAUGCGGGUUCUCUGCAGAUGCGUCAACGACAAAGAUUGUGGUAGAUAUGCUAUGUGAUGGUAGGUUGGACAAAGAGUUUUUGGGUUCUCUUUGAUAACGGACUUUGGUUCCUGUGGUGGCAAUCAUCUGAAUAGGAGGUGGGUUGUUUUUUCUGGCCUACUCUGGUUGCAUCAAUCAUUCUACUGAUCACUUUCUCAUCUUUGUCUCAUGAUGAAGCUGAAUUUUAAAGGUAACGUCUGUUCUGUCUUUCAUCGUUUGGUCCAAAUUAAAAGAAAACAUUUGUGCUGUCAUUUCUGAAAUAGAUCUGUUCCUUGUCAUAUGGUCUCCUGUUUAAUCAUAUGGGCUACUUCAAAAUUGUUCCAUCCUAUUGCUAUUCUUAGCUUUGUUUUCUUAUUUUAUGAUAUUGGUGUGAUAAAAUUGUGCUAGACAUGCAUUUGAUUUGAAUUCAGCGAGUAAGAGUGUGUUCCUUUCUGGUAAGGGACAAUUGCAAUGGAUCUGAUCACUUCAUCAUGUCUUCUUUUUGGUGACUUAAAGGAAGUCAACUUCUUGCUGUAGAAAACAUCAUCACACAUAGGGUUUGAAUCGUGAAUUACAAAUAAUGGCUUUGUAUUAAUAAAACCAUCAAAAUUUAUGCAAAUUAAAUUGUCGUUUCAAAAGGAUUCUUUCACGUAAAAUAAAACUAAAUAUCAUGCAAUUGUUUUUUGUAAUGUCCUAUGGAGUGUAGAAUCAAUGCCCAAAUAAGUCUACUUAAAAGGCCCAAUGGAUGUAAUAUAUAUAUAUAUAUAUAUAUAAAAAUUGCAGCUCUUUUUGGUUUGCAUUAAUAUCCAAACAAAGUAUCAUAAGCUUUUAAUUUCCAUAUUUUUGUCUUUCAAUGUGUAAGAGGAGAUUUAACUAACAGAGACAAACCGGUCUUCCUGUUGCGUUGGUUUUGAUCUGCUUAUCCUUCGGUUCACGCUCUUAUGGGGUCGAUUAUGCAUUGGUCCCAUCUGACACCAAGUAAAACUCUUCUCUUGGUCCCGACAGCCGCCGUGAUUUCCGAAACUUGGCGGAUGAGUCUGUUCCUUUAUCUUCUUGAGUAUCAUACAAACAGCAAACCCGACCCAUUAAACAGCAAAAGGGAUGCUUCGGUUGGUCCGUUUUGUACUAUUGGUUCUUCGGCAAAGCUGGGCGAUGGAUGCAAACUAUAUCCUUCUAGCCACAUCUUUGGGAACACAGAAUUGGGGGAUUCUUGCGUCCUUAUGACGUAGGCCGGUUUUGCUCUUCUGACCGGUUGUAUAUGGGUAUAUCAACGUUAUUGGUCACCAUGCUGUGGUUGGUCUUAAAUGCCAAGACAUGAAAUACAAGGCCGGGGAUAAUUGCUUUCUUCACAUUGAUCGGUGACAACAACAUAUCUGCCAACAAUACUCUUCUUGCAGGCCAUGUGGUCGUAGAGGACUAUACACACAGCAGAAGCCACUGUGGUUCACCAGUUUUGCCACGUUGCUACUUGAAUGGCAUGAUUAUUUAGAGAUGUUGCAGGAACAAGGCAGAGAUCAGUACGGAGUUCCCGUGGUGCGGGAAAUGGUGCAGUCAAUCUGGGAUUCUUUCUCUGAAAACCGUCGUGGGAUCUACAAGUUGAGGCAGUGGUCGGGUUCUUGAGUAUCACUGCCUAGUCUUCUCUCCCUUGUUUGGUUGUAUAUGGACCUCUUCGAUGUGUGUUCAAUCACAAACAAUGGCUGAAGCUACCUUUAAUAGAAUUUUUGCUUUGGUACCAAAAAGUACAUAUUGGUUUGAAGAA